CUGAGACUUGAGAUUCCAGGUACCAGGAUGAUCUUCAGGUGACUCGUGACCUCACGCUAGUCGUAGCAAUACAAACAAAUAUGGUAUAGGCAAAAUUAACAUCACACCAAACAUAAGAAUAAACUGAGUAAUAAUAAUCUAUGCGUUGCUACGAGAUUGUAGGACCAAGAUUCACUAAAUUUGGAGUUAUAGUUAUUUAGUUAUUAAUUUCUGAAGUUAUUAAGCACCUAGAACAGAUUAAUUCAAAUGAACAAUUUUGCUUCAAGUUUCAUGGCCAAACAGUGUUACUAGUUGAUAUACAAUAUUAAAAUAAAAUUAUUGCAACUGGAAUGACUCAAUUUGGAGUUAAAAUGGAUUACAUAUGAAUUAUACAAGUUUUAAGAUUUAUUUUUAUACUAAAAAUCAAUUUCUAAUAUUAAUUAUCUAGUUUCUCUGUUAUUUGGACUGCGCGCAGGAUUUCAGAAAAGUGCAGGGUCUAAUUCAAAAGACUCUCUAGGCUCAGGCUACAACUGAGGUGGAUUGCGGGUUCAAUAGUUUGAAGUGGAGGGUCUCUUUAAGAAAAUACACGGCCGAAGGGGUACGGAGUGCUAGCGGUCGUCCGAUCAGGCGCGGAUGGCCCAGAUUAGAUUGGCAUUGAAAUGAAGCGGUAUGCGAUCACGCCCCUCGGAUUGCAGAUCAACGCUUCGGAUUUAAAGUGGCGAGGGACAUUCCCGCACGCAGGAUCAAGAUCCCGCGGUCACGCUGGAUCCGAUCGGACGACCCAGAAUGAUCCCCCAAAGGGGGUAAGCGCGCUCCAAUCGUGGCCACCCGAUAAAGAUCGGACGGCCAGGAGCCGUUCUCCUUCCUCGAGCACCCCCAAAUCUCAACGACGCGCUCACCGCGGCGGAGCGCCAUGUCCAGAGCUCCCCAGCAAUACGCCCAGGCGUUAAAUUCUCGAUUCCCUAGCGCUACGCGUAGAGGAGGUCAAGGCGAAUCCGUUGGUGGGCUUAUUACCUUGGUAUGAUGCGGCGAUGGUCUCCGCUCGCGCGAUGGUGCGGCACCACGGCCAAUCCCCGCGACGGCGACAAAAUCGCGCGCACCCCGGACGAGUUCUUUGCCCGCCAAUGGCUCCUACACCAUCAACGAGCGCGGGCGAACCAGAUGAUGGCCUCCAAUGGCAGAUGCCGGCAAGGUUCUAUGGUGGCGGCCGCGCUCUUCCCUUUUCCUACCUCUCUCUGCUCUCGUCGCUCCUCACAGUUAUGACGACCGCCCAGCUAGGAUGAUGAGGGGGGGCUCGCGGGGCCGAGGAAGUUAUAACUAGCAUCAAGUCCGCGAUGGGGAUUUGGCCGGAAUCGCGCGAAGCCCACGGCGGCGGAGUUGCCGCGAUUCUGUUGGGAUCCGAAGGGGGACGCUGAAGCUGACAGAGUGGGGUCCAUGCGUCGGUGAUACAAGCCAAUUUCGCGCGCGCGCUUACUCCAGUUGGAGCCACCGCCAUGUGGGACCCGCAGCCAGAGGCAGGGCGUGAUGGGUUACGCAAGCUGGCUGGCAAGCGGGCCCGCGGCGCAGCGUCCGACCACACGCGCGCGAUGCACCAGAAGCGGAGUAACGAUGACUGACGAGGUGGCCCCGCCUGCCAGUGAAGUGAGCGCGAGGGGAAAAGGGAGCCAGUGUCUGGGCCGGCUGGAUGGGCCACGCAGUAGAGAAGAUGAACUGGGCCAGAAGUGAGGUUGGACGGCCCAUGUAGGGUUUUAAUCCUUUUCUUUUUAUUUUCUUUUCCAUUCCAAUUAUUCAACUCAAUUCAAAAUUUGGUUUUGCAUUCCAGAUUUCAAAUAUCGAACAAAAGUCUACAUGAAUUAUACUUUUACUGUCUGAAUUAAUAUUAUUUAUUAUUGUUAUCUUAUAAUGUAUAUUCUUUUUAUUUUUCUUCUCUUUUCUCUUUUAUUUCCAAAUUCUAAAUUUUCCAACUUAAACUUGUCUCACAAAUUCGAAUACAAAUGUAAACUUAUAAGAAAACUUCAUGGAAUGCACAUUUAUGUAUCUAUUUUAUUUGUUAUUUACAUAAUUUAAUGCCAUUAGUUGAGUAUGUAGAGAAAAUCAAGGGAUCCCUGAAACAUCCACUUAUAAAUUUACUUAUUUAUUCAUUUUUUUUUUCCUUCAAAUUUUGGGCUUUACAGCUCCUGAUGUAGUUUUAAGAGAAUCAAAGAAAUAUCACUCACCGAUUGAAAAGGUCAACCCUAUGCUCCAUCUCUUUCUCCGCCAAUCCAAACAUCUAUUGCAACGCAUAAAACGAAUGAUCUCAGAAACACUUCAAUUAAUAGUAAAAAACUGAAUGCAAUUGUUUACAUGUAGAAGAAACAACCAGAGGAAAAAGAUAGAAUAAAGCAUCCCAAGUAACAUAAGUUUGAAACUGAAUAUCAGAAAACUUUGGAGAUCAAUGGUCAUGAUAAUUGCUACAAAUCCUGCUUGUUCUUAUACAUCACCACUUGAAACCAUCAUCUGAAAAAAAAAUCCUGAGUGCCGCAGAAAUAAUGUUUUCUCUCUUGAAGAAUUGGACUAGUAUAAGCUGCGCAGUUAUUUGGUCAUAGUGCAAUGCUACUCGAUGGAAAGGCAGAUAUGAAAAAAGUAAAACAUUCUCUACUUUGUUCCCCUUUGAAAAACACCGAAAUCUACACGCAGUGCAUUAGUAUCAGGGUUUCCCAUGGAAGUCGUGCAAAAUUCACCUCCCCAAGCAUAAUUUAUUCCUUAUAAAAAAAUCAUGGUACAAAAACCAUAGGCUUGCUUUCCUCUUAGUUUAUUGCAGGGUGAGUGGGUGACAAAUCUAGGAAGCACAAGGUGAAGAAUAGAUCUUAAGUAUAAAUUUACUUGCUCAAACCAACUAAUUUGGCAUGUUUUUUUUUUUUCGUUCGAGCAAAAUAAGAAAAUCCUCGUUUCCUCAGAUCAACGUGUACAUCAAUGAUAUAAUUUUUACUCGGGCAAGUAAACUGCAGAGAAGGCGCACACCUGCUCCUUCUGCAUAUUGGUCGGCGCAGCACCAGCGGCCAUUGCUGCAGCUCACUUCAAGAAAGCGACAGAGCGCAAGCAAUCAGGGGAUCGGGUCAAUCUAAGAUCCAAGAAAAACGAGAGCCCAGAAGCCAACGAAGAUGAAAUAAGAACAGGGGCACGGUGGCGCUGACGGAUGCCGGCGGCGGAUCGCGGAACGGUAAGCACGACGACUGCAGAUCGAAGCGGACGCGAUGAGCUUUUGCGCGAAGAACUGCAAUGUGGCCAUGUGGGCCCGCAGUCCUUCACGGCCCAUAAAA
rnacentral:lncRNA from 1 species